rnacentral:tRNA from 1 species
ACUCAGUAGCUGAGUGGAUCAAGCGAUGGCGUUUAAAGCGAAAGUUACUGGGAUCGAAUCCCAGAGUGAUACA